GACGACGCUGGCGGCGUGGAUUAGGCAUGCAAGUCGAACGGUAUCAUCCUUUCGGGGGUGAGAGAGUGGCGAACUGGUGAGUAACACGUAGGUUAUCUACCCUCAAGACGGGGACAACCCAGGGAAACUUGGGCUAAUACCGGAUGUGAGCAACUUUUAGUUGUUUGAAAGGUGGCGUAAGCUGUCGCUUGGGGAUGAGCCUGCGUCCUAUUAGUUAGUUGGUGAGGUAACGGCUCACCUAGGCAAUGAUAGGUAGGCGGCCUUAACGGGUGGUCGCCCACACUGGGAUUGAGAUACGGCCCAGACUCCUACGGGAGGCAGCAGUCGAGAAUAGUCUACAAUGGUCGGAAGACUGAUAGUGCGACGCCGCGUGAACGAUGAAUCCCUUCGGGGUGUAAAGUUCUUUUAUAUGUGAGCAGUGCUUCUUAUAUUAACAGUAUGGGGAGAGAGAUAUUAGCAUAUGAAUAAGCGACGGCUAACUCCGUG
rnacentral:rRNA from 1 species